GAUUUAAUUAACAAGUUCUAACCUUUUGACCAAUUUCCCAAAUCAGACUACUUUAAUGAAAAAGAGAAAAAUUGGGGGUAGUUUGAGAUUUAGUUAAUUAUGAGAACUGUUAAACAGUCAACACUUAAGUUAAUGGAAAUAACUUCUGAAACUAGGCUUAGGCUAUUUCAGAAAUACGAAGAUAGAAGUCAAUGAUUUUCAAUGCUUGAGAUAAAAAUUAAAAUUGACCCGUAAAAUAAGUAUAAUAUAUUUUGUUUUGAUCAGC
rnacentral:lncRNA from 1 species